rnacentral:rRNA from 1 species
CCUACGGGAGGCAGCAGUGGGGAAUAUUGCACAAUGGGCGAAAGCCUGAUGCAGCGACGCCGCGUGAGGGAUGACGGCCUUCGGGUUGUAAACCUCUUUCAGCAGGGAAGAAGCGAGAGUGACGGUACCUGCAGAAGAAGCGCCGGCUAACUACGUGCCAGCAGCCGCGGUAAUACGUAGGGCGCAAGCGUUGUCCGGAAUUAUUGGGCGUAAAGAGCUCGUAGGCGGCUUGUUGCGUCGGUUGUGAAAGCCCGGGGCUUAACCCCGGGUCUGCAGUCGAUACGGGCAGGCUAGAGUGUGGUAGGGGAGAUCGGAAUUCCUGGUGUAGCGGUGAAAUGCGCAGAUAUCAGGAGGAACACCGGUGGCGAAGGCGGAUCUCUGGGCCAUUACUGACGCUGAGGAGCGAAAGCGUGGGGAGCGAACAGGAUUAGAUACCCUGGUAGUCCACGCCGUAAACGUUGGGAACUAGGUGUUGGCGACAUUCCACGUCGUCGGUGCCGCAGCUAACGCAUUAAGUUCCCCGCCUGGGGAGUACGGCCGCAAGGCUAAAACUUAAAGGAAUUGACGG